GGAGCGAAUCGCUAAAAGCCGUCCCAGUUCGGAUUGCAGGCUGCAACCCGCCUGCAUGAAGUUGGAAUCGCUAGUAAUCGCGGAUCAGCAUGCCGCGGUGAAUACGUUCCCGGGCCUUGUACACACCGCCCGUCACACCAUGAGAGUCGGGAACACCCGAAGUCCGUAGCCUGACCGCAAGGGGGGCGCGGCCGAAGGUGGGUUCGAUAAUUGGGGUGAAGUCGUAACAAGGUACC
rnacentral:rRNA from 1 species